GGAGGCGUGGCAGAGCGGACUAAUGCGGCGGUCUUGAAAACCGUUGUCCUUUACGGGACCAGGGGUUCAAAUCCUCUCGCCUCCGCCA
rnacentral:tRNA from 2 species